CUGGGGAAUAGCCCGGGGAAAGCCGGAUUAAUACCUCGUAAGAUAAUGAAGUGGCAUCGCUUUAUUAUUAUAGCUCCGGCGGUUUUGCAUGGGCGUGCGCCUGAUUAGGUACUUGGCGGGGUAACGGCCCACCAAGCCUACGAUCAGUCACCUGGUGUGAGAGCACGACCACUCACACGGGCACUGAGACACGGGCCCGACUCCUACGGGAGGCAGCAGUACUGAAUAUUGGUCAAUGGACGCAAGUCUGAACCAGCCAUGCCGCGUGAAUGAUGAAGGUCCUCUGCAUUGUAAACUUCUUUUAUAUGGGAAGAAAUCCAUCUUU
rnacentral:rRNA from 1 species